CUAAAGACGACGUAUACGGACUGACGCCUGCCCGGUGCUGGAAGGUUAAAAGGAGGGGUCAGCGCAAGCAAAGCUCCGAAUUGAAGCCCCAGUAAACGGCGGCCGUAACUAUAACGGUCCUAAGGUAGCGAAAUUCCUUGUCGGGUAAGUUCCGACCUGCACGAAUGGCGUAACGAUCUCCACACUGUCUCGGCCAGAGACUCGGUGAAAUUGCAGUCGCGGUGAAAAUUCCGUGUACCCGCAGAAAGACGGAAAGACCCUGUGCACCUUUACUAUAGCUUGACAUUGGAUUUUGGGCCUGCAUGUGUAGGAUAGGUGGGAGGCUGUGAACCCUGUACGCCAGUAUGGGGGGAGCCAUCCUUGAAAUACCACCCUUGCAUGUUUAAGAUCCUAACUUCUUCCGGUUAUCCCGGAGAAAGACAGUGUCUGGCGGGUAGUUUGACUGGGGCGGUCGCCUCCUAAAGUGUAACGGAGGCAUGCAAAGGUUCCCUCAGCCUGAUCGGAAACCAGGCGCUGAGUGCAAACGCAUAAGGGAGCUUGACUGUAAGAGAGACAUCUCGAACAGGAACGAAAGUUGGCGUUAGUGAUCCGGUGGUCCCGAAUGGAAGGGCCAUCGCUCAUUGGAUAAAAGGUACGCCGGGGAUAACAGGCUGAUCGCAUCCAAGAGUUCACAUCGACGAUGCGGUUUGGCACCUCGAUGUCGGCUCAUCACAUCCUGGGGCUGAAGCAGGUCCCAAGGGUACGGCUGUUCGCCGUUUAAAGUGGUACGCGAGCUGGGUUUAAAACGUCGUGAGACAGUUUGGUCCCUAUCUUCUGUGGGCGAAGGAGAAUUGAGAGGGCCUGUCCCUAGUACGAGAGGACCGGGAUGGACGCACCCCUGGUGAUCCUGUUGUCGCGCCAGCGGCAUAGCAGGGUAGCUAUGUGCGGAAGGGAUAACCGCUGAAAGCAUCUAAGCGGGAAGCCUGCCUCAAGAUAAGUUCUCCCCUCGAAAGAGCUGAAGGGCCCGGGUAGACUACCCGGUCGAUAGGCUGGAGGUGUAAGCGCGGCGACGUGCUCAGCUGACCAGUACUAAUAGCCCGAGCGGCUUAUUUUU
rnacentral:rRNA from 1 species